rnacentral:tRNA from 1 species
GACACUAUGGCCGAGUGGUUAAGGCGACAGACUCGAAUUAUCUGUUGGGUUUUACCCGCGCUGGUUCAAAUCCUGCUGGUGUCG